AACGAACGCUGGCGGCGUGGAUAAGACAUGCAAGUCGAACGGGCAUAUAACUGGUAGUAAUAUUAGUCGUGUCUAGUGGCGAACGGGCGCGUAACACGUGGACAACAUUCCGGGAAGCGGGGGAUAGCCCAGGGAAACUUGGUUUAAUACCGCAUGUGAUUGAGCGUGGCAUCACGCAACGAUCAAAGGUGGGGACCGCAAGGCCUGCCACUUCCCGAUUGGUCCGCGGCCUAUCAGCUUGUUGGUGAGGUAACGGCUCACCAAGGCGACGACGGGUAGCUGGUCUGAGAGGACGACCAGCCACACUGGAACUGAGACACGGUCCAGACACCUACGGGUGGCAGCAGUCGAGAAUCAUUCACAAUGGGGGAAACCCUGAUGGUGCGACGCCGCGUGGAGGAUAAGGUCUUCGGAUUGUAAACUCCUGUCAUGUGAGAGCAAGACUUUAGCGUUAAUAGCGUUGGAGUUUGAUAGUAUCACAAGAGGAAGAGACGGCUAACUCUGUGC
rnacentral:rRNA from 1 species